CCCCCUCUCCUUCUCAUCUGUCUGUUUCUCCUGGCCCCGCCCACAGCCCACGCCCAGCAGGGCGGCUCCAGCGGGGUGGUCAUCGCCGUGGUGGUGUGUGUGCUGCUCUUACUCCUGCUCGUCGCCACGCUCUACUUCCUGGGCAAGAAAGGCAAGAUGGCGUGCAGCAAGAAGAACAAGAAGGACGCGGAAUCCGGGGAGAUGAAACAGGACACCUUGAUGAAUAAGAAACCCGGCGAAGACGAUGGCGUGGAGGAACGUCUCAACAAGUCAGGAGAUUAGAGAUAAUUAGAGAGAAGACUACGGAUGAAGAGGCACUCUGAAGUGUGGGAGGCGCAAAUCUCCUUCUGAGAGGCACGAGGAGACGAACUUUAGCUGUAAAUGUAGUUUUCGGGGUGGACGGGGAAAGUGGGUGUGGGUUGGG
ensembl:lncRNA